AUAACGGUUAGAAAUGACCGCUAAUACCGCUUAAGCGCGCGAGGCCGCAUGGCCGCGCGCGAAAAACUCCGGUGGUAUGGGAUGGGCCCGCGUCUGAUUAGCUAGUUGGCGGGGUAACGGCCCACCAAGGCGACGAUCAGUAGCCGACCUGAGAGGGUGGCCGGCCACAUUGGGACUGAGACACGGCCCAAACUCCUACGGGAGGCAGCAGUGGGGAAUAUUGCGCAAUGGGGGAAACCCUGACGCAGCAACGCCGCGUGAGUGAGGAAGUAUCUCGGUAUGUAAAGCUCUAUCAGCGGGGAAGAAGGAAGACGGUACCCGACUAAGAAGCCCCGGCUAACUACGUGCCAGCAGCCGCGGUAAUACGUAGGGGGCGAGCGUUAUCCGGAUUUACUGGGUGUAAAGGGAGCGUAGACGGCGUCGCAAGUCUGAAGUGAAAGCCCGUGGCUCAACCGCGGAACCGCUUUGGAAACUGCGAGGCUGGAGUGCUGGAGAGGUAAGCGGAAUUCCUGGUGUAGCGGUGAAAUGCGUAGAUAUCAGGAGGAACACCGGUGGCGAAGGCGGCUUACUGGACAGUGACUGACGUUGAGGCUCGAAAGCGUGGGGAGCGAACAGGAUUAGAUACCCUGGUAGUCCACGCGGUAAACGAUGAGUGCUAGGUGUCGGGGGGCAAAGCCCCUCGGUG
rnacentral:rRNA from 1 species